rnacentral:sRNA from 1 species
AUUCUGAUUACAAAGAUAGAACUGUGAACAUAGUGAAGAAUACACAGAUACAGACAGUGGUCAGACUACGGGGGUGGGGACCUAGCUUUGUCUGUGUUACUUCCUCUGGUGACCUCCUGGUUAUCAUGAUAUCUGAUGAUCAUACACAAGCAAAAAUUGUGUGUUAUUCUGGCUCCACUGAGAAACAAACGAUUCAAUACAAGGACAAAAGACAGCCUCUUUAUUCAUCUAAAUUUAUGUCUAAGCAUAUCAGUGAGAACAGAAACCUAGAUAUCUGUGUAGCUGACUGUGGAGCCAAUGCAGUAGUGGUGGUCAAUCAGGCCGGGAAACUCCGGUUUACCUACACCGGUCCUCCAGGGUCGGAUCCUGAUAGCAGAAUGUGAUAACCACCGUAUCCACAUCCUGGAUCAGGACGGACAGUUCCUCCGCUACAUUGACAACUGUCAUUUACAGAGUCCCAGUGCUUUAUGUGUGGACACCAGAGACAACCUCUUUGUGUGUGAAUUUUACACAGGUAAAGUGAAGAAAAUCCAAUAUUGCAUGUAAACAAACUGUGAUCAUUAUCUUGCAUGUAUACAUUGUGAACAUUUGAUGACAUUGUAGUUAAUUAUAAAAUGAUUAUGUAUCUUUAGAAAUGUUUUUUUUUAUCAACAAAGUGAAUAAACUGUUUAUACAUGU